rnacentral:rRNA from 1 species
AGGGAACGCUGGCGGCAUGCCUUACACAUGCAAGUCGAACGGCAGCACGGACUUCGGUCUGGUGGCGAGUGGCGAACGGGUGAGUAAUGUAUCGGAACGUACCUUUCAGUGGGGGAUAACGUAGCGAAAGUUACGCUAAUACCGCAUAUUCUGUGAGCAGGAAAGCAGGGGAUCGAAAGACCUUGCGCUGAUUGAGCGGCCGAUAUCAGAUUAGCUAGUUGGUGGGGUAAAGGCCUACCAAGGCGACGAUCUGUAGCGGGUCUGAGAGGAUGAUCCGCCACACUGGAACUGAGACACGGUCCAGACUCCUACGGGAGGCAGCAGUGGGGAAUUUUGGACAAUGGGGGCAACCCUGAUCCAGCCAUGCCGCGUGAGUGAAGAAGGCCUUCGGGUUGUAAAGCUCUUUCGGCCGGGAAGAAAUCGCAUAGGCUAAUACCCUGUGUGGAUGACGGUACCGGAAUAAGAAGCACCGGCUAACUACGUG